GACGAACGCUGGCGGCGUGCUUAACACAUGCGAGUCGAACGGAAAGGCCCUGCUUUUGUGGGGUGCUCGAGUGGCGAACGGGUGAGUAACACGUGAGUAACCUGCCCUUGACUUUGGGAUAACUUCAGGAAACUGGGGCUAAUACCGGAUAGGAGCUCCUGCUGCAUGGUGGGGGUUGGAAAGUUUCGGCGGUUGGGGAUGGACUCGCGGCUUAUCAGCUUGUUGGUGGGGUAGUGGCUUACCAAGGCUUUGACGGGUAGCCGGCCUGAGAGGGUGACCGGCCAAAUUGGGGCUGGGGUACGGCCCAGACUCCUUAGGGGGGCAGGAGUGGGGAAUAUUGCACAAUGGGCGGAAGCCUGAUGCAGCAACGCCGCGUGCGGGAUGACGGCCUUCGGGUUGUAAACCGCUUUCGCCUGUGACGAAGCGUGAGUGACGGUAAUGGGUAAAGAAGCACCGGCUAACUACGUG
rnacentral:rRNA from 1 species